rnacentral:lncRNA from 1 species
AGCUACACCCACUCAAGUUUCACCUGCACCGACACCAGCCCAAGUCAUUGAUGGACCGAUUACACGUAGUUGUGCAAAGAAGCUACAACAACAGGUCCACGCGCUACUUUGUGAGAUUCAUUUUAACAUUAAUAAGAAUUAUAUACUACCUAAGUGUUGUACCUUGAUUGUACUCAGGUAUAUAGAAGAAGAGAAGGAUGAAUUGGACCUGAAGAACGGACCAGUGCAAGUUCUAGAAGAAGUCAAAAACGGACCAAUGCA